GAUGAACGCUGGCGGCGUGCCUAAUACAUGCAAGUCGAGCGAACGGACGAGAAGCUUGCUUCUCUGAUGUUAGCGGCGGACGGGUGAGUAACACGUGGAUAACCUACCUAUAAGACUGGGAUAACUUCGGGAAACCGGAGCUAAUACCGGAUAAUAUGUUGAACCGCAUGGUUCAAAAGUGAAAGACGGUCUUGCUGUCACUUAUAGAUGGAUCCGCGCUGCAUUAGCUAGUUGGUAAGGUAACGGCUUACCAAGGCAACGAUGCAUAGCCGACCUGAGAGGGUGAUCGGCCACACUGGAACUGAGACACGGUCCAGACUCCUACGGGAGGCAGCAGUAGGGAAUCUUCCGCAAUGGGCGAAGGCCUGACGGAGCAACGCCGCGUGAGUGAUGAAGGUCUUCGGAUCGUAAAACUCUGUUAUUAGGGAAGAACAUAUGUGUAAGUAACUGUGCACGUCUUGACGGUACCUAAUCAGAAAGCCACGGCUAACUACGUG
rnacentral:rRNA from 1 species